CUUUAUUAAGGCCGGUUACUAAUAUUAAUGCCCACUACUCACACUUCACUUGUAUUUUUUUUUUAAUUUUAAAUAAAAAAAUUAGGUACUUGCCUACUAUCUGCGCUUCUUUUUCCUACACACCUUUAUUUACUUUUUUUUUGGGUUUUUUUCUUAUCCCCAAUUCCCCCAAUUCCCAAUUUUUACAGAAAGAAAACAUUGAAGACCCCUAACUUCUUACUCACUUCCUCUCCCCUAACUCUCAUUCAAGGAUCGGCGCUGCUCUUAGAUCGACGUUGGCCGCACUCCGCCGACGGCCGACUGGUGUUCUCCUGCUUGCCUUUAGCCUUUUCUGAGUUCUCUCUCUUCGACAAAGCAAAACUCCAGUCGUCAGACAUGUCAGACAUGAUGGAUAGUAUCAUUACACUGGGAGGAAACUUGGCAAUUUGAGGAUCACAUGGAUACUAUUAUCUUUGGACUUGAAGGAGACUUGGCAAAUUAAGGACUAGUUUUAUGUCUCAACCUUCUGUAAGUAGCGAAAUUAUCGGCACACUCAGGAGUAUUUGGCAAGAUUUGCAGCCUACAACGAUGUAGAAUUGGAUGAGAUUCGAGAACAACGGGCUAAGUUUUUAGGCUUAAUUUUUUGUUGAAAGACUAGUUAUCUUAUUAAUCGACGUUAUGAUUAAUCGCAUUUAGCUUAAUAAAACAAUACAACACUUUUCUA